CCUACGGGAGGCAGCAGUGGGGGAUAUUGCACAAUGGGGGGAACCCUGAUGCAGCGACGCCGCGUGGGUGAAGAAGCGCCUCGGCGCGUACAGCCCUGUCAGCAGGGAGGAAAAUGACGGUAGCUGAAGAAGAAGCCCCGGCUAACUACGUGCCCGCAGCCGCGGUAAUACGUAGGGGGCGAGCGUUAUCCGGAUUAACUGGGUGUAUGGGGGGCGCAGACGGCGAUGCAAGCCAGGAGUGAAAGCCCGGGGCCCAACCCCGGGACUGCUCUUGGCACUGCGUGGCUGGAGUGCAGGAGGGGCAGGAGGAAUGCCUGGUGUAGCGGUGAAAUGCGUAGAUAUCAGGAGGACCACCGGUGGCGAAGGCGGCCUGCUGGACUGCAACUGACGUUGAGGCCCGAAAGCGUGGGGAGCAAACAGGAUUAGAUACCCGGGUAGUC
rnacentral:rRNA from 1 species